rnacentral:rRNA from 1 species
UACAGAGGGUGCAAGCGUUAAUCGGAAUUACUGGGCGUAAAGCGCGCGUAGGCGGUUCGUUAAGUUGGAUGUGAAAGCCCCGGGCUCAACCUGGGAACUGCAUCCGAAACUGGCGAGCUAGAGUAUGGUAGAGGGUGGUGGAAUUUCCUGUGUAGCGGUGAAAUGCGUAGAUAUAGGAAGGAACACCAGUGGCGAAGGCGACCACCCGGACUGACACUGACACUGAGGUACGAAAGCGUGGGGAGCAAACAGG